UACAGAGGGGGCAAGCGUUGUUCGGAAUUACUGGGCGUAAAGGGCGCGUAGGCGGCCUGCUAAGUCGAACGUGAAAUCCCUGGGCUCAACCCAGGAACUGCGUCCGAUACUGGUUGGCUUGAAUCCGGGAGAGGUGAGUGGAACUGCGAGUGUAGAGGUGAAAUUCGUAGAUAUUCGCAAGAACACCAGUGGCGAAGGCGGCUCACUGGCCCGGUACUGACGCUGAGGUGCGAAAGCGUGGGGAGCAAACAGG
rnacentral:rRNA from 1 species